GAUGAAGAACGUAGUGAAAUGCGAUACUUGGUGUGAAUUGCAGAAUCCCGUGAACCAUCGAGUCUUUGAACGCAAGUUGCGCCCGAAGCCAUUAGGCCGAGGGCACGCCUGCCUGGGCGUCACACGUCGUUGCCCCCCCAUCUACUCCUUCGGGAUUGCGGGGGGCGGAUGAUGGCCUCCCGUGCGCCUCGUCGCGCGGUUGGCAUAAAUGCCAAGUCCUCGGCGACGCGCGCCACGACAAUCGGUGGUUGCGAAACCUCGGUUGCCCGUCGUGUGCGGUCGUCGCGCAUCGAGGGCUCGAAAAAAUUGCCGGGCUCCGGCUCGGCUUUCAACGCGACCCCAGGUCAGGCGGGGUUACCCGCUGAAUUUAAGCAUAUCAAUAAGCGGAGGA
rnacentral:misc_RNA from 1 species